rnacentral:lncRNA from 1 species
CCUUAAUAAAAAUGAUGUUCCACAAAACUGCGAUUUUUGUUGUUUCCCUUAGUUCCCUCUGAUUAAAGUAUUAGAAGCAGUUUCAUAGAAGUUGUUAUGAUAUUGAAAAAAUGCACUAAAUGCUCAGACAGAAGAUUGUCCAUUCUUUUUUGUCCCAACAAGAAAAGAAAGUUGAAAAUGAAAGCUCCAUGAUGGAAACUAGUAAAAGCAACAUAUAUUUAAGCUGAAAAGUAUCCCUCACAGAUGACAGACAGUUUACAAGGUAUGAACAAAAUGGAGAUGAUGAUGGAUAAAUUUUAAAUUCCAAAAUUAUUUUUGGAAAAUUAUCAUGCUUGGUCCAUACAUGUAAGAGCUGCCCUGGUGCAAAAGGAAUGCUAGGACUCUGGUUUUGAUAUCAAUAUGAUGAAUGGAGAAAAGAAAAUAAAUAAUCAUGUUUGAAUGUUUUUAUUUCUUGUUUUGAUGAUAAUUAUUUAGAUGAUAUAGGAGAAUGUACAACUACAAAAGAAGUUUGGGAGUCAUUAUUAUGAGAUUCACUCAAAGUGCAGAUUACAUUCUCCAACUGAUGCAUGGUUUUUUCAAUAGUAAAAUGAAGAAAAACAAUGAUAUGAAGAAUUAUUUUGAGGGUCUAAUGGAACUGCAUCAAAAGCUGAUAAGCUGUGGUUAUCGGCUUUUGAUGCAGUUUCAUUGGAUCCCCAAAGUAAUUCUUAAUCAGUGAAACACUAGCCACAGCCAAUUAUUAGGCUUAUUAUAGGCUGUGGUUAUUGUUUCACUGAUUAAGAAGUAACACUAUCCUUUUCUCUUCAGCUAGAAGUUUAGCCUUUUAUUUCUUAGUUGACAGUCCAUCUUCAUCUUGUUUAAGGUUUAGAAUUAACACUUCAUAGGUAUCUGGGUGACUUAUUAAGAGAAAAGAAUAAGACAUUAUGAAGAAGAAAAAGAAUCUUAUUAUGAACAUGAUUCAAAGGAUCUGUUCAUGAAAAACAAGGGCACCUUAUGAGCAUUCAAUCAGCAAAAUGCAUACAAACAACAAGAAAGAAACAAACUUUCAAAAACAAACAAAUACCAAAUGAUGCUGACAAAUAAAAUGUUUUUGCUGCAACAGAUUUGUCCACAUUAUGAAAAACUGUCCAGAGGGUCAGGAUAAUCAAAAUGGAAUGAAUACAUUAAAAAGAUAGUCCAGGAAGUGUUAUGUGUGCUAUAAAUGAAGUGGCUAAAAAACUGAAGAUAUGAUAUUUGGAUAACAAUGCUACUAAUCAUAUGACAUCUAUCAUAAAAAGCUAAUGAAAUUCAAGUAAAUGAUAUCAAGCACCAAAGUAGCAAAUAAGGUUGAAAUACAAAUUAAUGGUAUUGAACAUGCAAAUAUUAAACUAUCUGAAGAAAAUGGGUGAGUAAAUGCUUCCUUACAUAAUGUUUUAUAUGUGCUAUAUUUAUAAAAAUCUCUCAGUCAGCAGAAUUGAAGAAAAGGGAGUAAAUAUCGAUUUUAAACAUUCAUAUAAAAAUGACUUUUAUAUGAAGAUCAACCAUAUUUAAAGUCAAUCUUCCAUCU